AGGGUUUGAUUAUGGCUCAGAACGUACGCUGGCGGCACGCCUUAUACAUGCAAGUCGAACGGAGUAGCAAUACUCAGUGGCAGACGGGUGAGUAACAUGUGGGAAUCUUCCCUUUGGUGAGGAAUAACACGAGGAAACUUGUGCUAAUACCUCAUAAGUCUUUACGGAGAAAGCUUUAUGCACCAAUGGAUGAGCCCGCAUUUGAUUAGUUUGUUGGUAGGGUAAUGGCCUACCAAGACUGUGAUCAAUAGCUGAUCUGAGAGGAUGAUCAGCCACAUUGGGACUGAGACACGGCCCAAACUCCUACGGGAGGCAGCAGUAGGGAAUAUUGCACAAUGGAGGAAACUCUGAUGCAGCGAUGCCGCGUGAGUGAAGAAGGCCUUUGGGUUGUAAAGCUCUUUCGUCGGGGAAGAAAAUGACUGUACCCGAAUAAGAAGGUCCGGCUAACUUCGUGCCAGCCGCCGCGGUAAUA
rnacentral:rRNA from 1 species